AUUCCAGCUCCAAUAUUUUCUUUUUUCGUUUGUUCUUUUCCCCCUCUUGUCUUCUGCUUUCUUUGCGGUCCGCCCGGUCUGCCGCUGGGUCUGCCCUGGCCGGCGCGUCCUUCCACCCGGAGACCGCGCCUACUCUUAACUGAGCGGGCGCGGGAGACGGGUCUUUUACUUUGAAAAAAUCAGAGUGUUUCAAGCAGGCAGUCGCUCUUGCAUGGAUUAGCAUGGGAUAAUGAAAUAGGACUCUGGUGCUAUUUUGUUGGUUUCGAACACCGGAGUAAUGAUUAACAGGGACAGUCAGGGGCACUCGUAUUCCGCCGAGAGAGGUGAAAUUCUCAGACCAGCGGAAGACGAACCACUGCGAAAGCAUUUGCCAGGGAUGUUUUCAUCG
rnacentral:rRNA from 1 species